rnacentral:rRNA from 1 species
AUGCCAACGCUUAUUGGGAUUGUAGAAGUAUUCACCAUUCACGAGUUUGGAGUCUACUGGUGGCACAUGAAUGAUGACCUUGUUAGACCUUUGGUGAUGCUUCCUCCAAAAGAAAUACCACCAUUCUGGCAUGCUAUAUUUUUCAUUGCGGUGAAUGAUACAAUGGUCCGGCAAGCUGCUAUGGUGGUCAAGUGUGUGCUGCUCAUGUACUACAGAAACAACAAAGGUCGUCACUAUCGUAGACAGGUAAUCUGUUGUACAUUAUCAUUGUUCAGCUAA